GGGACACGUGGUAUCCUGUCUGAAUAUGGGGGGACCAUCCUCCAAGGCUAAAUACUCCUGACUGACCGAUAGUGAACCAGUACCGUGAGGGAAAGGCGAAAAGAACCCCGGCGAGGGGAGUGAAAAAGAACCUGAAACCGUGUACGUACAAGCAGUGGGAGCCUCUUAAUGGGGUGACUGCGUACCUUUUGUAUAAUGGGUCAGCGACUUAUAUUCUGUAGCAAGGUUAACCGAAUAGGGGAGCCGAAGGGAAACCGAGUCUUAACUGGGCGUUAAGUUGCAGGGUAUAGACCCGAAACCCGGUGAUCUAGCCAUGGGCAGGUUGAAGGUUGGGUAACACUAACUGGAGGACCGAACCGACUAAUGUUGAAAAAUUAGCGGAUGACUUGUGGCUGGGGGUGAAAGGCCAAUCAAACCGGGAGAUAGCUGGUUCUCCCCGAAAGCUAUUUAGGUAGCGCCUCGUGAAUUCAUCUCCGGGGGUAGAGCACUGUUUCGGCAAGGGGGUCAUCCCGACUUACCAACCCGAUGCAAACUGCGAAUACCGGAGAAUGUUAUCACGGGAGACACACGGCGGGUGCUAACGUCCGUCGUGAAGAGGGAAACAACCCAGACCGCCAGCUAAGGUCCCAAAGUCAUGGUUAAGUGGGAAACGAUGUGGGAAGGCCCAGACAGCCAGGAUGUUGGCUUAGAAGCAGCCAUCAUUUAAAGAAAGCGUAAUAGCUCACUGGUCGAGUCGGCCUGCGCGGAAGAUGUAACGGGGCUAAACCAU
rnacentral:rRNA from 1 species